GUCCGUGCCGGCAUGGACGAGUUUGGUUUCGUGUCUCCCGGUGAAUCGCUUCUUAACGAUUAAAAGCCAUGUGGGCUUGUGUUUGUAGUACCGGUGCUAUGUUGCGGGUUUUCUCUGCGUUUCUGUUGGCGUGUUUCGCCUUCAGUCGAGUGAAAAUAGCGGCUACAUUACACUACUGGGACUACGGUAGCUGUUGUGCCCGCUGGUCUGUACUCUGACUUUCACUGCGCGGAAAACUGCAUUGCUGUAUCCUGGUCUUUUAGCCUGGAUCGUGCUGGCUUGGUUCCAGUUUCCUGAGUGCUGCUGUUUUGCCUUAUUGGUGUUCUGCUGGAACUAUUGUUCUGUCUGGAUCGACUGUUUUGCCUGAUCGACUGUUUUGCCUGCAUUGGGUCUUGCUAAACUACUGUUUGGUCAGACUGUCAUUUUUGUUUACAUUAUUGUUUUGCCUGAAUCGUAUUUGAGUUAUUGUUUUGUAUAAAUAUUUUGUUUAUAUGAUUGUUUCCAUAUUCAUGUUUCCGUUUCCAUGUUUAUUUUGACUUAUGGUUUAUUGUACUGUAGUAUUGUAUGUGUAUUUUCUAUUUUUGUCUUGUUUGUGUGGUGUAAGGGGGCUGUAAGAGACUAGGACUCUGUGCUUACCUCAUUGUGUGACACCCAAGAGAGAUAAGUGUCCUUUGCCUCUUGAGUUAGUAAUUAUUAUUGGUUGCAAACAAUUGUUAAUACAAUUUAUUAAGUGUUGGAAGUACGUCUCUGGUCUCUAAGUGUGUUCGAACCUGGGUGUCUUUCUUUCUGGGCCUUAAGUGCCUGUUAUACAGUAUAAAUAUUUCCUAGGGGUGAAAUUCCUCUAGGUGGCGUUGUCGAGCAACUUUAAACUAAACCACCACUAAACUUUAACUAAUUACGUCCACCACUCCGUCACAAUCGCAAUGGAGUGACCUACAAAUCCUGUUGCUCACGGUUUUACGACUUACAGAUCCCGUAGUAGUUGAAUUCAAACAGUUCCUGUUUAUUACCUUAAUAACAUCUGUUACUAUUUGCCAAUGUGUGAACUUUCCCACUGUCACACAAGGACAAUUGUCUCCAUGUAUAUAAGAGAAACUGUACCUUUGUUCUAGAUCACACUGCUCAGUUUUCUAUGAGAGGCUUGUCGGUGUGAUCCUUCUCUGCAGACAAGAAUAAAUCUCUUUUUCUACUUAUAA